AACAACUUUUGCAAAUCAAAAAUAUGGAUCAUCGAUUUGAACAAGAACGAUCACACCGAGAUAAUUCAUCAGUUUUCUUUUCACGACUGGAUGCACGACUUGGUGCUUGACGAAAUGCCAAAUAAUGGAACGUUCGCCUACAUCUCGCGGUGGGAAGAACAAAAUAUUGUCGUGUUUAGUUUGGAAAGAAACGAAUCUUGGAUUGUGAAAACGCCAGAUGUCAAGGUUUUUUCCAUCGCCCUUUCCCCCAAGGAUCAGGAACCGAGACAGCUCUACCUUGGCAGCUACCACUCCAAUGAACUGUAUUCAAUUCCCGUUGUCGCUCUCCGCAGUCGAGUUCAAAGUGCAAAUCCGAAACUAAUCGGAAGAUGGACUGCAGAGCAACCCUAUAGAAUGCUAAUAGACAACCACGGGACCAUGUAUACCGCAUUUUUGUGGGCACACCAAAUACUUUCUUGGGAUACUUCCCAGCCAUUUCAGGAAAAGCAUUUUCGUGAGGUCGCAGGACUGUAUACUAAUAUACUAUUUACAUUUGCCUUGGACCAAAAUGGAACUCUUUGGAUGACGGAGAUUGAUGAAGAAAUAAGGCCUAGAUAUACGCUAAGGCUUUUGCAAGUUACGCCUACCAUUCCAACCACCACUACCAAGGUGAAGACUGAAAAACCGCACCUAUAUUGGCCUUUCAAAUUCAUUCUUAUCUACACCAUCGUGAUUAACUUGAUCCUGCGGGGUAUAUGAUCGUUUGAUCAUUCUGAGACAGAAGAAGGUCGAUUCCCAAUUCCCUUUCGCAAAACACCUAAAAGAGCCAUCAAAUGACCUUUUUCUGUGACAACCACGAUGACGUCUAUUCGAGGUCCCGUUCUUCUGAUCUAAAAGCAGCCGAAAAGUCCCAGAGUGCGACCGGUGGUGAGGAAAGUGAAAGUGAUAUCCGGGAAACCGAGGGGUUUUGAACAAUUUGGACAAACACCUCUUGAUCUAAAUCCAAUAUUUUAAAAACAUUCGAUUAUUUUUAAAAAUGUUUCAUUUUUAUCUGAAACAAAUAGUGUUUUGCCCUACUAUUUUUCUUUUACAACUUGCCAUUUAAAAAAAAAUAGGGAUAAAAAGCAGUUGUUGUUUUGUUCUGCAGUAAUUAUUCACAGAAAGCGAUACAAAUAUUAAUCAAAAGCAGACAUGAGUCUUUUUUCAGAAAAACAAAUUAUUUUAAGGCAGUUCAAUUUUCGUUUAAAAAUUAAUCUUGAGAAUGAAUGGUUUUUCAAUAAAAUCAAGCUCCUAUUGUGCAAUAAUUAAAAAAAAACAA